UACGAAGGGGGGCUAGCGUUGCUCGGAAUCACUGGGCGUAAAGGGUGCGUAGGCGGGUCUUUUUUUUUUUAAGUCAGGGGUGAAAUCCUGGAGCUCAACUCCAGAACUGCCUUUUGAUACUGAAGAUCUUUGAGUUCGGGGAGAGGGAAGUGGAAUUUUCCGGUGGUAGCGGUGAAAUGCGUAGAUAUCGGAAGGAACAUCAGUGGCGGAAAAGCGGGCUCACUGGGCCC
rnacentral:rRNA from 1 species